CGGGCUGUGGCGCGCGAAGCCGGAACGUUUUUGUGACCGUUGGGCGGCGGUUGGGGGAAGGCGCCGAGCCGGCUCUUCUCGGCAGAGGCGGAAACCAUGGACAAGCACGCGAAGGCUUCGAAGCCUCCCGGCUUUCCCUCUGGGACGAAGACGGAGCGGCGUUUGAGCAUGUUCGAGAAAGACAACCAUGCACAGGUGGUAAAAGAGAGAAUGAGAAGUUCAAGCCAUGAAGUUCACGAUCUCCAGCAGAUGGGUCUGGGAUGUUGCGAGAGACAACUGGGUUUCAGCUAAAUGUGAAACAGAAUCCUUUGUUUCAUUGGCUUUGAUAAUUGCUUGUUAUUAUGAAUAAUUUUUUGAAAGCAGCCAGCCUCUAUGAAUCGUCAUCACUAUAUUAUGUGUGCUUGUUCAAAAACCUUCAUAAAGUUAUAGUUAUUUUAGAAUACUUUCUUUAAGUUAAAAACAGUUGAUAGAUUGAAAUGCACAUACAUUUAAACUAAUGUUUCCAAUUCUUUUCUAUAAUUUUUUCAAAAAUAUAUAUGGAUAGUUGCAUACUGUAUACAUUUGUCUUAAUGCUGUGUUUGUGCACUUAUGACAGGUAUUAACACAUUUUGCAAGGUGCCCAUUGUGGCUUUGCAUGAGUUGUAAAGAAUAGGUAUCCCAACAAAUGACAAGUGACAGUUCCAUUCAAAAAAGGAAAAUAUUCUGUGCUUUGAUAUGACUUUGUGACAGAAAAGUAAUACUCUCAGCUGUAGUUAUAUUCAUCCAAUUCUACAGCAAGAAUCUCUUCAGAGAUCUAGUAAUGAAGAAAGCCACUGUAAUGUGGCUUAUUUUUAAAAGUUUUUCUUAGAUUAAAUAACUUUCCCACUAUAAUCAGCUGUUAUUUUUUGUGCCAGUUAAACUUUUGAUUGGAUAUUGAAGUUUGGAACAUUCCAUAUACGGUCCCAAUCCUGCUCCUUUUGAAGUCAGAGGGAGUGUUAUCAUUGACUUCACUGAUACCAGGAAGUUUCCCCCAAAAUUACAAAACAUCAACUGUUUUAUAGUCCUUUGUCUAGAGGCUGUUAUAUUGUAUAUACUGGACUCAAUGAUUUUUGUUUUCAUAACACUCGUUCCUAAUGACAGCAGGCCAGAAGAGCUGUAAAAUCCAUUCAGUGACAACCUGAAAUUUCAGGUGAUAGAUAUGUAAUUGACAGUUAAUCACAACAAUACAUCUAUAUAUCUAUAGAGGUACACAGAAAAGAAUGACUAAGACAAAAUUUACAAAGAAUAUUAGAACUGCAGCUAUAUUUAACUAAAUAGUGACUUAAAUUUGCUAUUAUUUUAAUGGCAUUGUUCCAUUAUAACACUUCAGAAGAAAAUAAAUAUUACUUGUUUUCAGAAUAAAACAUUGUUUUAAUUUUCUGCUAAAAUGCCUGUUGGCUUGAUAAUAUCAAAUAGUACUUUAAUUCCUUAUACCACAAAACAAGGGUGGCUUUAUAUAUACAGGAAUACCAGAAUGAGACCUGUUCUGACCAUGGAAGAAGCACAUGGCAAUAGCCCCAGUCAGUUGGGAAUCUAUUUGGAGUAGGGAAAUCUACAGUGGGGAUUGUUGUGACCCAAGUAGCCAAGGCGGUCAAUACCCUUCCACUAUAAAGGUUAGUGAUUCUGGGAACUAUGCAGGACAUAGUGGAUGGCUUUUCCGUGAUAGGGUUCCCUAACUGGUGGAGUGAUAGACAUGUUCCUAUCUUGCCAAAGAGCAUAUGGGACGGGGCAGAUCAGCCCUUGAGGACAAGAAAGGACAUAGAGCAAGAAGCUAGAGAGGCUGUGGAGGAACCAGCCAAUCAGGGGCCAGGAAGGCCUAUAAAAGGUGCUGCAAAGCACAGCAGGAGUCAAUUGGAACCUUCAAGGAUCAGGCUAGUCCUGAGGGAAGGGCUAAGCCAAACUGUUGGAGUCCUGUGGCCAGUGGAAAGGGACAUAUGAGAAGGCAAUGCUGCCAGAGAGAUAGAGGGUGCCAAAGGGUCAGGCUCAGCCUGGGACUGUUGGAAAGGGAGGUGAGACAAAGGAGGAACACGAUGCUGAGAGUGGUCACUGGGGGCAGUGAGCACAGGGGAAAGGCUAUACUGAAACCACACCACAAAGAGAGUGGCCAACAGGACAGGAGUUCACCAUCUUGCCUGCCACCAGACUGAGUAAGUAGCCCCCCUGCCCUUGGGUGCAGCACUGCAGGGAAAGGGAGUGAAAAGGUCCCUUGUGGCUGGGCGGGGGGAGAGGCUGGGGGGAGACAGAAGGCUGCUGGCAGCCACAGGAUGGGAUUCGGGGAAGAGCAAAGGUUUUUAAUACAUUUACUUGAUUUUUAACUUUGCCGUCCCUCCCAAGGGCCUAUGCUUAUGACAAUCACACUUCCACAUGAGGGCUUUUGCUACAUUUCAAAGGCAAAGGUGCCCUUAUUGACUGAGGGUACGAUGGUUGGAGAAAGGUGGAAGCCAGAUUCAAGAACAAUAAGAACCAUGGGACCUGUGAAGUGGGUUCACUGAAAGAAGACUAGACUUAUGGAUGCCUCGGGAGGAAGCAGCAAACACCUGCUUUUGGACGGUCCCUCUUUGAAGGUGAAUGGGGGAGCAUUAAAAACACCCAGAAGAAGGUGCCUUAGACCAGUAAAUGCAUAUGUAUAUGAUGACUCUCUGCCUGAGAGGGAAGACACUAUACAUCUAAGGCAUCUUGCAGUCAACAUGGGAGCAUUGAUCCAGCUCCAACCCUCCCCGACCUAACUAAUCUGGCCAGCAGUUAGGUGGAACAACUAUUGAUAAAAACAAGACAUGGUGGGUGUGUGCCUGUGUGCACUGUAUUAUAUGCAUAUAAGUGUUGACUGCUAUAUGUAUGUAUUACCAAUAAAUGUGGCAUUUUGCCUUUU